UGAUGCAGCGACGCCGCGUGAGGGAUGACGGCCUUCGGGUUGUAAACCUCUUUCAGUAGGGAAGAAGCGAAAGUGACGGUACCUGCAGAAGAAGCACCGGCUAACUACGUGCCAGCAGCCGCGGUAAUACGUAGGGUGCGAGCGUUAUCCGGAAUUAUUGGGCGUAAAGAGCUCGUAGGCGGUUUGUCGCGUCUGUCGUGAAAGUCCGGGGCUUAACCCCGGAUCUGCGGUGGGUACGGGCAGACUAGAGUGCAGUAGGGGAGACUGGAAUUCCUGGUGUAGCGGUGGAAUGCGCAGAUAUCAGGAGGAACACCGAUGGCGAAGGCAGGUCUCUGGGCUGUAACUGACGCUGAGGAGCGAAAGCAUGGGGAGCGAACAGGAUUAGAUACCCUGGUAGUCCAUGCCGUAAACGUUGGGCACUAGGUGUGGGGACCAUUCCACGGUUUCCGCGCCGCAGCUAACGCAUUAAGUGCCCCGCCUGGGGAGUACGGCCGCAAGGCUAAAACUCAAAGGAAUUGACGGGGGCCCGCACAAGCGGCGGAGCAUGCGGAUUAAUUCGAUGCAACGCGAAGAACCUUACCAAGGCUUGACAUGUUCUCGAUCGCCGUAGAGAUACGGUUUCCCCUUUGGGGCGGGAUCACAGGUGGUGCAUGGUUGUCGUCAGCUCGUGUCGUGAGAUGUUGGGUUAAGUCCCGCAACGAGCGCAACCCUCGUUCCAUGUUGCCAGCAC
rnacentral:rRNA from 1 species